GAUUGGUUCAAUUUCAGUGGUAUUCACAACUACUUGACCAGAACAAUUACAGAUUGCUCUUUCCCCUUUCCACCCCAUCACUUCACUUGGCCAGCCUUAA
rnacentral:Y_RNA from 14 species